rnacentral:rRNA from 1 species
AUUGAACGCUGGCGGCAGGCCUAACUCAUGCAAGUCGAGCGGCAGCGGGAAAGUAGCUUGCUACUUUUGCCGGCGAGCGGCGGACGGGUGAGUAAUGCCUGGGAAAUUGCCCAGUCGAGGGGGAUAACAGUUGGAAACGACUGCUAAUACCGCAUACGCCCUACGGGGGAAAGCAGGGGACCUUCGGGCCUUGCGCGAUUGGAUAUGCCCAGGUGGGAUUAGCUAGUUGGUGAGGUAAUGGCUCACCAAGGCGACGAUCCCUAGCUGGUCUGAGAGGAUGAUAAGCCACGCUGGAACUGAGACACGGUCCAGACUCCUACGGGAGGCAGCAGUGGGGAAUAUUGCACAAUGGGGGAAACCCUGAUGCAGCCAUGCCGCGUGUGUGAAGAAGGCCUUCGGGUUGUAAAGCACUUUCAGCGAGGAGGAAAGGUCAGUAGCUAAUAUCUGCUGACUGUGACGUUACUCGCAGAAGAAGCACCGGCUAACUCCGUGCCAGCCGCCGCAGUAA